CUAGUACUCCCUCCGUCUAAAAAUACUCGUCGCAGAAAUUGAUAAAAAUGGAUGUAUUUAGAAUUAAAAUAUGACUACAUACAUCCAUUGCUCCAACAAGUAUUUCCGGACGGAGGGAGUAUCAU
rfam:Triticum aestivum genome assembly, contig: Triticum_aestivum_CS42_TGACv1_scaffold_222951_3B